CAAGCCUUGGAAACGAGGUCUAAUACCGGAUAUGACCUUCCUCUGCAUGGGGGUUGGUGGAAAGCUCCGGCGGUGCAGGAUGAUCCCGCGGCCUAUCAGCUUGUUGGUGGGGUAACGGCCCACCAAGGCGACGACGGGUAGCCGGCCUGAGAGGGCGACCGGCCACACUGGGACUGAGACACGGCCCAGACUCCUACGGGAGGCAGCAGUGGGGAAUAUUGCACAAUGGGCGAAAGCCUGAUGCAGCGACGCCGCGUGAGGGAUGACGGCCUUCGGGUUGUAAACCUCUUUCAGCAGGGAAGAAGCGCAAGUGACGGUACCUGCAGAAGAAGCACCGGCUAACUACGUGCCAGCAGCCGCGGUAAUACGUAGGGUGCGAGCGUUGUCCGGAAUUAUUGGGCGUAAAGAGCUCGUAGGCGGCCUGUCGCGUCGGAUGUGAAAGCCCGGGGCUUAACCCCGGGUCUGCAUUCGAUACGGGCAGGCUAGAGUGUGGUAGGGGAGAUCGGAAUUCCUGGUGUAGCGGUGAAAUGCGCAGAUAUCAGGAGGAACACCGGUGGCGAAGGCGGAUCUCUGGGCCAUUACUGACGCUGAGGAGCGAAAGCGUGGGGAGCGAACAGGAUUAGAUACCCUGGUAGUCCACGCCGU
rnacentral:rRNA from 2 species